rnacentral:lncRNA from 1 species
CCAUUGUCUUGUCCAAUGGCCACUUGCCCCACUGCAGGUGCUGCUGGAAAAGUCAACUCGAUGGGUGGCAGAGUUCUGCCUCUUGAAGUUGACAGCACUGCAAGGAGUGGAAUCUGGAUUCCUCAAGACUGCAAAAAGGCCUAGGCCUCCAGACUGACUCUACUCUCCAGCAGACCUCUUGUGUGAGUUCCCAAGAUGGCUGCAGCACUCCUGAGGCUAUAUCCCUCAUGUCUAGCAGGAAAUAAGUCCACUUCUCUGAUGGUUCAAAAAAGAGUUUCAGAAUUGAGUCUCAGUGACUCUGAUUGCCCUGCCUUGCAUUAUUUACUCAUCCUUGAGCCAAUCACUGCAGCCGGGAAGAUGGGAUGUGCUGACUGGAUUAAAGAAAUCAGGACCCUUUCCUAGAGAUGGAAUGUGGUCAAUCUCACCCAAACCGUGAGGUUGGAGAUUUCAGAGCAGUGUUAAAAAGGACAAGGGAGGACUGCACAGUAGGGAGUUGAUUAACAAGUAUCCAGAGAAGCAGGGGACAGACAGAGUUAGGAGUGGCUCCCAGGUCUUUGGCCUGAACAUCUUAGACAGAAACGUACAAAGAGAAGGGAGCACUUCAGGGAGAUCAGUUAGAAUAAGAAAUAUAGUGAGACGUAGCCACCAACUGGCCAUUGAUUGUCUUGCAUUGAAGCAGCAGUUUCAGUGAAGUAGUGGGAACAGAUACCAGGUUGCAGUAGGAAAGGAAUCAAUGAAGGGAGCAGGUAAUGUUAGGGAAACUCCGCAUUCUUCGAAGAGAUUUAAAACUAGAGGACAGGAGAGAGAUAGAAGUAAUAGUUAAAGGGGUCCCUGAGGUCAAGGGAUUUUUUUUCAAGAUUUGAGCAUGCUUAAAUGCUAAGAAUGAUAACUGAAGAAAAUAUGAGAACAAGGUUGAAGCUAUAGCAGAGAAAUGGGAAAAAUUAAUUGAGAUCCCUAGGAAUAAUGAGAAGAGGGAUCAAGAGUACAGCUAGAAUCAUUCGUUUUGUAGAGUAAGGGACCUAUUCACUUUAAUCAACUGGAAAGAUGCAAGGGAUGGAACGUAUUUCUGCACCUGUGAGCCGAGAGUGAAUUCAGAAACUAGAGGGAG